rnacentral:rRNA from 1 species
AACGAACGCUGGCGGCAGGCUUAACACAUGCAAGUCGAACGCGUGCAGCAAUGCACGAGUGGCGCACGGGUGAGUAACGCGUGGAUAUCUGCCUUUUGGUUCGGAAUAACCCCGGGAAACUGGGGCUAAUACCGGAUGGUUCCUACGGGAUAAAGAUUUAUCGCCAAAAGAUGAGUCCGCGUCCGCUUAGCUAGUUGGUGAGGUAAUGGCUCACCAAGGCGACGAUCGGUAGCUGGCCUGAGAGGACGAUCAGCCACACUGGGACUGAGACACGGCCCAGACUCCUACGGGAGGCAGCAGUGGGGAAUAUUGGACAAUGGGGGCAACCCUGAUCCAGCCAUGCCGCGUGAGUGAUGAAGGCCUUCGGGUUGUAAAGCUCUUUUGGCGGGGACGAUGAUGACGGUACCCGCAGAAUAAGCCCCGGCUAACUUCGUG